AUACAAGUGGGUAGAGACUAAUAUUGCGAUAAUCAGCUGGAAGUUGAGGUGCGGAAACAAUCAUGUCUUCCAGUAAUUUCUAGGCUUCGUCCAUAUCAGGGAAAAUGUGAUUUUGAUGACUCCCUCCGCAUAACCUACAUGAGAACUUGACUCUACUUGUCUUCUUCCCAACGGUAUCCUGACUAGUUGAUGGUAGGUCAUCAGCAUGUUGUUCAAAGGCUGACGAUAUGGGCUGGAGAGGGUGUGUAGACCAUGCUUCUAUAGCCUUGGAUAGACCAGGGAAAUCCUUAAGAAGAUGGCUACCCUUACAAAUCCUACAAGGGUACUUGCGAUUAUAGGUUGUUUGGGUGAUCUUGGCAUUAUCAACACUCUUAGCAUGAUUAUUAGUGACUGGUGGUUUUCCAACAUGUCUAGCAGUGGUUGGAAGUUUGGACCCUUGCUUAUUUUUCUUCUUCUUAAUCUUCCUUUUCUUCUUCUUCUUAUCCAACGAGUUACUAGGGCUCAACCCUGGAUAGAUGGUGGAAACUACCAAGCUGGAUUAUGGUAGGGGUAGAGGGAAUUUCCGGUGGAGCGGUGAAAGGCGUUGAGAUUGGAAAGAACACCAACGGUGAAAGCACUUUGUUGGGCCAACACUGACACUGAGAGAUGAAAUCUAGGGGAGAAAAUGGGAUUAGAUACCCCAGUAGUCCUAGCUGAAAACAAUGGAUACUAAGUGUUAUGUGUAUCGACCCACACAGUGUUGUAUCUAACGCGUUAAGUAUCCCUCCUGGGGAUUACGUUCGCAAGAAUGAAACUCAAAGGAAUUGACAGGGGGCCACACAAGCGGUAGAUCAUGUGGUUCAAUUCGAUGCAAAAUGAAGAACCUUACCAGGGCUUGACAUGCCGUGAAUCCUCGAGAGAGAGAGAGGAGUGCCUUCGGGAAUGCAGACACAGAUGGUGCAUGGUUGUUUUCAUCUCGUGCCAUUAGAUGUUGGGUUGAGUCCCGCAAUGAGAAAAACCCUCGUGUUUAGUUUCCAGCAUUGAGUUUGGAACCCUGAACAGACUGUCGGUGAUAAGCCGGAGGAAGGUGAGGAUGACGUCAAGUCAUCAUGCCCCUUACGCCUUGGGUGACACAUGUGCUACAAUGACCAGGAAAAAGGGUCGCAACCCCACGAGGGAAACCUAACCUCAAAAACCCAGCCUCAGUUUGGGUUGCAGGUUGCAACUCGCCUGCAUGAAGCCGGAACCGCUAGUAAUCGUCGGUCAUCCAUA
rnacentral:rRNA from 1 species